UACGAAGGGAGCUAGCGUUGUUCGGAAUCACUGGGCGUAAAGCGCACGUAGGCGGACUUGUCAGUCAGGGGUGAAAUCCCGGGGCUCAACCUCGGAACUGCCUUUGAUACAGCAAGUCUUGAGUUCGAGAGAGGUGGGUGGAAUUCCUAGUGUAGAGGUGAAAUUCGUAGAUAUUAGGAAGAACACCGGUGGCGAAGGCGGCCCACUGGCUCGAUACUGACGCUGAGGUGCGAAAGCGUGGGGAGCAAACAGG
rnacentral:rRNA from 1 species